GCUUUUUUUGCCCAGGCGGAGCUCGACCGCAAACCGAAGUGAUGGUGCAAUUUAUGCAGGAAAAUAAAGCAUUAGGGGUCGAGUCGAUGUGCAAGGAAUUAGCCAUCGCCCC
rnacentral:ncRNA from 1 species